rnacentral:rRNA from 1 species
CACGUAGGGUGCGAGCGUUGUCCGGAAUUAUUGGGCGUAAAGAGCUCGUAGGCGGUGUGUCGCGUCGGCCGUGAAAACCUGCAGCUUAACUGUGGGCGUGCGGGCGAUACGGGCAGACUGGAGUACUGCAGGGGAGACUGGAAUUCCUGGUGUAACGGUGAAAUGUGUUGAUAUCAGGAGGAACACCCAUGGCGAAGGCAGCAAACUGGGCAUCAACUGACGCUGAGGCGCGAAAGCGUGGGUAGCAAACAGG